CUCUGGAACGAAUUAAGUAUGUAACCAGAGGUACCACUGUACUGUGGAAUACCACCCCAUGUCUAUUCAGAAGUUAGUCCCAUUGAGUUUAUUGAGGUUUACUCCCAUAACCAAUAGGUUUGUGUUAGGAUUGCAUCUUAAUACAGCUGCCGUAUAAAAAUGUUAAGUUUUUUCCCCUGAUUCCUAUGGGUAUAGAAUUGGUCGCAGACCCCAACCCUCUGGCUAAACUUUGUGUGCAUCAUGAUUUCUGUUCUGACCUUCUCUUUUCUGGAACUGUCUCCCAGUUGAGAUGCCGUGAAGCAGGCUCUGCUCCUGGAAGCAGAGCAGCAACAAGACCAGUGGUGCUGUGUGGUCCUGAAAGGGCCUUUGGGGUCAUGGCUGUUAUGAUGUAUGGUUCUGCAGAGAACCAUAAUGUAUGUCUCUGACUUAAUCUUAGCUAAUGGUUUCAAGAAGGAAGGACUUAAGGUUAACAUUUUCUUCAACGAUAACAAUCAUUCUGAAAGGCAAUGCCUUCUGACUGUACAAGCUUUAGCAGGUUUUUGAAUGUUGCCAUUGUGUUGGCAGCACCAUUGCAUGAUGCUAUAAAACUGAAAGUUGAAAUAACAAGGUGAGAAUUGCUUCAUGAACUGUAAGCCGGAUGUGGCUGUUUAUUCAAGUAAAACAUGAAGCUUGAGACUCCAGUGUAAUAUCUCUUUGAAGGGCCUGCAGGAAAGCUGCUUUGUCUUCUACUUGGCCAUCGCAGCUGCACAAAUUUAUUGGUAUUGCUCAUGAUAAAUGCAUAAAGUGUAUAACCACAGCAAAACGUUAUUGUUACUCAAAGUCCCAGGGCAUGAUCUGAACACACAUGAAGCAGCAACCUUGCUGAAGGUAUGUGGGCCUGGGCUAAUGAUCAGUGUCUGGUGGGAGACCUCCUGGAAGAAAGGUGGGAUUGAAGUGUGUGUGUGUGUGUGUGUGUGUGUGUGUGUGUG